rnacentral:rRNA from 1 species
GGGCGCAAGCCUGAUGCAGCCAUGCCGCGUGUGUGAAGAAGGCCUUCGGGUUGUAAAGCACUUUCAGUCAGGAGGAAAGGUUAGUAGUUAAUACCUGCUAGCUGUGACGUUACUGACAGAAGAAGCACCGGCUAACUCCGUGCCAGCAGCCGCGGUAAUACGGAGGGUGCGAGCGUUAAUCGGAAUUACUGGGCGUAAAGCGUACGCAGGCGGUUUGUUAAGCGAGAUGUGAAAGCCCCGGGCUCAACCUGGGAACUGCAUUUCGAACUGGCAAACUAGAGUGUGAUAGAGGGUGGUAGAAUUUCAGGUGUAGCGGUGAAAUGCGUAGAGAUCUGAAGGAAUACCGAUGGCGAAGGCAGCCACCUGGGUCAACACUGACGCUCAUGUACGAAAGCGUGGGGAGCAAACAGGAUUAGAUACCCUGGUAGUCCACGCCGUAAACGAUGUCUACUAGAAGCUCGGAGCCUCGGCUCUGUUUUUCAAAGCUAACGCAUUAAGUAGACCGCCUGG